rnacentral:rRNA from 1 species
UACAGAGGUCUCGAGCGUUGUUCGGAUUCAUUGGGCGUAAAGGGUGCGUAGGUGGCUAGGUAAGUCGGAUGUGAAAUCCCGGGGCUCAACCCCGGAACUGCAUUCGAUACUGCCUGGCUAGAGUACUGGAGAGGAGAUUGGAAUUUACGGUGUAGCAGUGAAAUGCGUAGAUAUCGUAAGGAAGGCCAGUGGCGAAGGCGGAUCUCUGGACAGUUACUGACACUGAGGCACGAAGGCCAGGGGAGCAAACGGG